GUCAGGAUGGCCGAGCGGUCUAAGGCGCCAGACUCAAGACUAGCAGUCUUCCGCUUAGCGGGUGUUCUGGUCUCCGAAUGGAGGCGUGGGUUCAAAUCCCACUUCUGACA
rnacentral:tRNA from 1 species